AUUGUCACCACCUGCAGGGCAUUCACAUGCUGCCUAUAUUUAAGACCCAGACUUCAUGUUCAGUGACACAGAAAUUGCCACCUUGAGAACUGUACUGGAAAGGCAAAAGUUGAAAAAUAAUUUUCUACAAAUAAUCAGGCUGCAAAUUCUACCUCUCUCAAGAUAAACAGGAAGAGCCAGGGAGUUAACUGAACAAGAGACUCCAGCUCCUGGAUCAGUAUCUCUGGAAGAAUUUGACCCUACUACUCCCAAGGGAAAAAUCUGCUGCAAAAUCAUUCAUGCCAAGAAUAGCUUCACCAUCCACAGUCAAAGAUGCAGGAGCCAAGGGGCGAUGCUUGCUCAAGCUUCAGUGACCAAGCAUGGUGGCACACUAUUGUAAUCCCAGCACUCAGGAGGCUGAGGCAGGAGGAUCACUGCAAGUUUGAAAUCAGCCUGGGCUACACAGUGAGUUCAAGGCCAGCCUGAACUACACAGCAAGACCCUCCCCCCAAAAAAAGUUGAUUUUUUCGAAGCUGACCACCAACUUACAGAGUUUGUGGUCUGAAUUAUGUAAAAUUAAUAUACACACAAAUAAAUAAAUGUUUUAUAAAUAAUAAAACAUUAAAAGUGAUUGAUCU